GAUGAAUAACGUAGCGAAAUGCGAUAAGUAGUGUGAAUUGCAGAAGUACCGUGAAUCAUCGAAUCUUUGAACGCAAAUUGCACUCUCUGGUAUUCCGGGGAGUAUGCCUGUUUGAGGGUCGCUUAACAAACCAUCGAUUUCGUUGCUUUUUUUUUAAAGUGAUGUUUAUCGGAUUUGAGCCGUCUUUUUUUUUAUAUUUAAGUGGCUUAAAAUUGAUUUUUUUGGUACGAUCGAAGCGUAUUUUUAUGAUCAAUUUUUGGUUAAAGAAACGCACAUGUACCGUUAUUUAUAUGAUGUAAUACAUUUGACUAUUGGAUUUAGUUCAUUCGUAUACGAUAUCUUUCAAUAUUUGACCUCAAAUCAGGUAAGAACACCCGCUGAACUUAAGCAUAUCAAUAAGCGGAGGA
rnacentral:misc_RNA from 1 species